ensembl:lncRNA
CUGAAAAUGAACUACACUGCAAUGUUUUCACCAUCUUUAUUCAACAUAUAUUAUUUUGUAAAAAAAAACUUGUGAGGAGAUGGUAUAGAAGAGGCAAUUCUUCAGAGUAUCUAGAGAAUGACAAACCUAGAAAUGGGAUAAAAUAUGACUGGAGAGAAUCUGUUUUGUUCAAAUUCGGUCAUCAGAUUUGAGAGAUUCCUGUGGGAAAUAUUCUUUUCUUGCUUUGCUUCAAUCAAAAUCAUCGGCCAUGGCAUAUUGAUUACAGCAUAAAAAAAAAAAUAGGUCUCCAUAAACCUAACCGAGCAGCAAAAUAAGUACAAGAACAACCUUUGGCUUUACUAAGGAUAUGAAGCAAACUUUAUGUUACAUUUAGGAGAGUUGUUAAGAAUUUUCUCAGUGGAAGUUAGCAAGCGCCUUUAUGAGUUAUAACCUUUCCACUUCAAGCCAUGGGAAUUAUUUUACAUGAUUGAUUGGUAUAAUUAGGCUGUCUAGUGGAGCAGUGGCAGUUCCUUGUGCUGCCAAGCAGGAGGGACCUCCGUGCUGAACUCUCACAGCCUGGAAUGGCCAACAAUGGGCCUGCCAUGGAGAAGAUGGGUCUGACCUUUGUGGAAGGUGGUGGACAUGUCACUCAAAGAGCAGAGCAGCUGACUGUGAGCAGAAAGCAGCUGUUCAUGUGCCUCUAAUCUGUGGACACAAACUUAUAUUUCAUAAGGUUCAAUGUAAAGGAAACUGGUGAGACAAGGAGCUUUAUGAAUAUGAAGACUGCAGCAGAAUGGACUGGACUUCAGAGUCCAAAACUUAUGGCUCCCCUAUUAUGUCCUUUCACAGAGUAUCUGUAAAUAUGAGAGCAUAUUUAAAAGUAAUAUAGCCAUCAGUUAUCUUCUAUCCCAAUUAUGUUACCUGCUCCCUUCAUACCCCAACACUGCAAACAGAUCCUUCACAUUAAGUUCUUUUUGGCUUAGAAACUCAUGAGAAAUCUGGACAGUGAAAGUAUUCUUUUUAAAAGACAGAGAGAUGGGUAGUCUUUAAAAGAGAGAAAAUUAUAGCCAAAAUGGUAAUUAAGCAC